AGAUAUUGUGUUUGAGCACCAGUAAGUUAAUAUAAUGUCAGCUUUUGUACCAUUUUAGCCUUUAAAAAAAAAAAAUCUCUCUAGGAAAAAACAACUUCUGCAAAAAGAAGCUUGUGAAUCUUUGAAAAAGCAAUAAAUGGCAGACAUUUCUAACAUGUUGGUGGUGGGGAGGGAGGGAAAAAGUCUAGGGACAGAAAGGAUGUCUAGCUACCAUGCUAAGCCUUUUAGAACGUGACCAUUUUAUUAUGAAUUGAGGCAUACAACUGCUGGUCUUCAAACUUUCAGUGAACACCUAUUCUUCAAUUGUUGUUAUUUUUUUACUCCCAGCUUUGUUGACAUCAUUUGUCUUUCCUUUGUUGCUGUUCUUCACUCACUUAGGUACUUUCCCUUACUUGCAGCAUUAGACAUUCAGUGCUGCACCGCUUCUUUUUCAGUGUACUAGCUGUUAAAAAAAAAGAAUGAAGUGUAUGCUGACUAAGCCCUUUUUUUCUUUUUUGAAAGGAAGUGAGGCAGAGCUGUAAAAUCUGAAAAAGAGCAAAGGAGUGAGGUCCUCUGUCCAGUUGUUAGCUGUCUGGAGACCACACUUCAGUCUUGUGGAUUUGCCAGUAUGCUGUAUCAACACCCAAGGUUGACUGAAAGCAUUCAUUCAAGAAGCUAACCUAUAGGAACAUGUAUCAGCUUUUGCUAAUGAACUCUGUGUCAAGGUUCAUCUGUGUUCAGAAAUAUCAAGUACAGUAUGCUCUGAUCAGCAGCACAAACCACAGAGAGUGCCCAGCAGAUGCCCAAAUGCUAUGUUUUCCAUCUCAUUUCGAUAUCCUUGACUCAUGCAUCCUGUCUAAGCUAAUGUUAGUUUCCUGACUGCAGUGUGUCCGCAGCCCUGGGCUGCCAACAAGCGCUUGAGCCAUCCCAGAAAGAUCACUACUCCUCCAUUUUGCUGUGCUUUUAAUGGCUCUCUCAAAGCUACCUCGUUACACCAGCUUAAAUCUGGAAUCUCUAGAUUUACACUGGAAUAGAGGAGCACUUUUCCCUCCAGUUUUAAAAAAUUAAUUUUGAUGUGACGGUCUAGACCAUUCAGCUUUGACUUGACAUCUUGGAAGAAAAUAAGCUACUACCACGAGCAGUUGCAUUAAUCAUUCACCUUACACAAUCACAUCCUCCCCCUUGAAUGAAACAGCCCUGAACAGAAAGAUCUGAACUGGAAUAGACCCACUGCUUUUUGUAAGAUCCCUGCAUCUCCAUUUCCCUGAUAACCUGAACUUCUCCUCUCCAAACUGCUGUUGUGUAUGAGAUAGCAUAGCACUGACUUUGCAUUGCUUAUUUGCAAAAACUAAUAAAAUUUAAACAACCUUUUUAGGCUAGACUUCA
rnacentral:lncRNA from 1 species